GACGAACGCUGGCGGCGUGCCUAACACAUGCAAGUCGAACGGGGGUAUUUAUUUCGAUGAAUACCUUAGUGGCGAACGGGUGAGUAACGCGUGAGCAACCUAUCCUUAAGAGGGGGAUAACAUCUGGAAACAGAUGCUAAUACCGCAUAAGACCACACUGCCGCAUGGCCGAGGGGUCAAAGGAGCAAUCCGUUUAAGGAGGGGCUCGCGUCCCAUUAGAUAGUUGGUGAGGUAACAGCUCACCAAGUCAGCGAUGGGUAGCCGAGCUGAGAGGCUGAUCGGCCACACUGGAACUGAGACACGGUCCAGACUCCUACGGGAGGCAGCAGUGGGGAAUAUUGGGCAAUGGGGGGAACCCUGACCCAGCAACGCCGCGUGAGGGAAGAAGGCCUUCGGGUUGUAAACCUCUGUCAUUAGGGAAGAAGAAAGUGACGGUACCUAAUGAGGAAGCCCCGGCUAACUACGUGCCAGCAGCCGCGGUAA
rnacentral:rRNA from 1 species